rnacentral:rRNA from 1 species
UACGAAGGGUGCAAACGUUGCUCGGAAUUAUUGGGCGUAAAGCGCACGUAGGCGGCAUUGCAAGUCGGAUGUGAAAUCCCUCGGCUUAACCAAGGAAGUGCAUCCGAAACUGCAGUGCUUGAGUACUUAAGAGGAUCGCGGAAUUCCCGGUGUAGAGGUGAAAUUCGUAGAUAUUGGGGAAGAACACCAGUGGCGAAGGCGGCUCACUGGUCCGGUACUGACGCUGAGGUGCGAAAGCGUGGGGAGCAAACAGG